rnacentral:rRNA from 2 species
GACACGACUCUCGGCAAUGGAUAUCUCGGCUCUCGCAUCGAUGAAGAGCGCAGCGAAAUGCGAUACGUGGUGUGAAUUGCAGAAUCCCGUGAAC